CUCGAAUUUAAAAUGUUGGAGUUUAAAUCGGAUAGCCGUUGCAUUUCGCUUCCAUACAACGGUCAGAUUUUCAGGAAGAAUUAGGACGUUGGAGUUUUAUAUUUUUCUUUAUAAAUAUGAUAAUAUUCCUUGUUGACGAACACAAAACAAGAACAAGAGCAGCAUUUGACAAACAGAGCUGCCAUUCCUCUGCAGCAGGAGCACUUUCCAUUCUCUUUUUCUUCAGGGAUUUGAUUUUGUGUAGACGUGGGAAGAAUAUACAAACGAGUUGAUCAAGAGCAUUG